GGGGGGGCGGACUAUAUUUUUUGGGGGGAAAGAACGAAUUCCUAUGCCCCACAAAUAACCCAGAGAUGCAUUUUAAAUAAAAGCACACAUUCUGCUCAUGUAAAAACACGCUGAUUCCUGGACCGUCCACGGGCUGGAUUUAGAAGGCAAUUGAGCUGGAUCCGGCCCCUGGGCCUUAGUUUGCCUGCCCAUGGACUAGAAGACCCUCAGGGUACUUUCUCAGUCUGCAGUUCUAUGAUUCUACGAACAUGAGGUACCACUGUAUAGUAAAAUUAUUGAGUAACAUGGAACUUUUGGAGGUGGAAAAUAUUUCUCUGCAAUGUAAUAACUAGGUUUCGUGAGUUUUAAAAAAUUAAAGCUGGAAUUCUCGCA